rnacentral:rRNA from 1 species
UACGAAGGGGACUAGCGUUGUUCGGAAUUACUGGGCGUAAAGCGCACGUAGGCGGAUUCGUAAGUCAGGGGUGAAAUCCCGGGGCUCAACCUCGGAACUGCCUUUGAUACUGCGGAUCUCGAGUCCGAUAGAGGUGGGUGGAAUUCCUAGUGUAGAGGUGAAAUUCGUAGAUAUUCGCAAGAACACCAGUGGCGAAGGCGGCUCACUGGCCCGAUACUGACGCUGAGGCACGAAAGCGUGGGGAGCAAACAGG